rnacentral:rRNA from 1 species
GUACACGCUGUGACUAGCAUAUCAAUAAGCGGAGGAAAAGAAACUAACAAGGAUUCCCCUAGUAACGGCGAGUGAAGCGGGAAGAGCUCAAAUUUGAAAUCUUAAAGGGUUUCCCUUUACGAAUUGUAGUUUAAAGAAGUGUUUUCUGUUGAGGUUUUGGUAAAAGUUCUUUGGAAUAGGACAUCAUAGAGGGUGAGAAUCCCGUAUUUGACCUUUACUUUCAACUUUGUGAUACACUUUCAAAGAGUCGGAUUGUUUGGGAAUGCAGUCCAAAAUGGGUGGUAAAUUUCAUCUAAAGCUAAAUAUUGGCGAGAGACCGAUAGCGAACAAGUACCGUGAGGGAAAGAUGAAAAGAACUUUGAAAAGAGAGUUAAACAGUACGUGAAAUUGUCAAAAGGGAAGCGUUUGACACCAGUGUUGUUUUUCUGAAAAUCAAUUAAAGAACUGUUUAUGCUAAGUUGUUUAGACUUUAUCAGCUAUCUGUUUAGUUUUGAGCUUUUCUUUAAUGCACUUUUCAGUUAACAAGUCAACAUCAAUUUCUUUUGCUGUAAAAAAGCUUGAGGAAGGUGGCUUGAGAUUCGUCUUAAGUGUUUAUAGCCUCUUGCCUAUGCAGUCGGAGAGAUUGAGGUCUGCAGCGUAGAUCCUUCGGGGCUAAAUGCAUUUGUGCUAAGUUAUAGCAUUUUAUAGACAACUUGUUGACUAUGAUUUGUCUUGUAGCUUACUCGCUUAUGUUAUUUUACCUACGCUUAGGAUGUUGAUAUGCAUGACUGAUAU